AAAUCCCCGAGCUGACAAGGUACAAAUCUGUCGUUCUGCCACUGAACAGGCAGUUAACCCACUGUUCCUAGGCCGUCAUUGAAAAUAAGAAUUUGUUCUUAACUGACUUGCCUAGUUAAAUAAAGGUUUAAAAAAAAAACCUGUGCCAAUGCUCCAAGAUAAAAUCCCACUAUACUUCUUCUUGUGAAAGUUAAACAAUGUUUAGAGGACACAACAGAGAAGGGGGAAACAUAGACAAACUAUGUAAAUACUCUGAGUCAUUCACAACAGACCAUGAGAGUCUAGGAGGUGAAGUAUGCCCAGCACUGUACCCCUGUCGCUUGACCCUGUUGCUCUUGGCUUACCCAGAAGCCCCUUGGAGGAGCACAGAGAUUCCUGGGACACUCAGCGUGUAAUAACCUUGUCCUGUUUCACGCAGACUAAAUAUAUUAAAGUAUGGAGCAGGGAAGUUCAGGCCCCGGGGAGAGGGACGGUGGGGGAGAUAGAUAAUUAGAUGCCUAAUGGUGUAAUACAUGGGACAUGUAGGGUUUGUUCGGAGGUAGUUAGAUCCCUAAUGGUGUAAUACAUGGGACAUGUAGGGUUUGUUCGGAGGUAGUUAGAUGCCUAAUGGUGUAAUACAUGGGACAUGUAGGGUUUGUUCGGAGGUAGUUAGAUCCCUAAUGGUGUAAUACAUGGGACAUGUAGGGUUUGUUCGGAGGUAGUUAGAUCCCUAAUGGUGUAAUACAUGGGACAUGUAGGGUUUGUUCGGAGGUAGUUAGAUCCCUAAUGGUGUAAUACAUGGGACAUGUAGGGUUUGUUCGGAGGUAGUUAGAUCCCUAAUGGUGUAAUACAUGGGACAUGUAGGGUUUGUUCGGAGGUAGUUAGAUGCCUAAUGGUGUAAUACAUGGGACAUGUAGGGUUUGUUCGGAGGUAGUUAGAUCCCUAAUGGUGUAAUACAUGGGACAUGUAGGGUUUGUUCGGAGGUAGUUAGAUCCCUAAUGGUGUAAUACAUGGGACAUGUAGGGUUUGUUCGGAGGUAGUUAGAUGCCUAAUGGUGUAAUACAUGGGACAUGUAGGGUUUGUUCGGAGGUAGUUAGAUCCCUAAUGGUGUAAUACAUGGGACAUGUAGGGUUUGUUCGGAGGUAGUUAGAUCCCUAAUGGUGUAAUACAUGGGACAUGUAGGGUUUGUUCGGAGGUAGUUAGAUGCCUAAUGGUGUAAUACAUGGGACAUGUAGGGUUUGUUCGGAGGUAGUUAGAUGCCUAAUGGUGUAAUACAUAGGACAUUUAGGGUUUGUGACUUACAAGUCCCAGCUGUACUAGUGCUGUAAGACUUUUCAGUCUCCCAGAGAAAGAUCCAAGUUAGAAAAGGCGUGUGCCACUCUAGCAGCACAUGAAGAGUUAAGCCGGUCUCUUACAAUGUGAAGGAUUCAGUAUUUCUAUAGGGCCAUCUUUGUCUUUCCUUUAUCCUUGCCGGAGGCUAGAAACAGAGUCUUUCUCCCCUUCACCGUUUGGCUACAAUAGCCAGGUGGAUCUGGACACCAUUAAGUUAACGUGAGAACGUUUAGGCCCAAAUUCUUCCUCCUAUGUCUUUAGACCUUGGAAGCUUCGACCCAGGUUGUUAGCCUGCUAGCCUGUUAGCCUGCUCACCGAUUCCCUGCUUUUUAAAAAUGUAACCUGCCGCCACUUUACAAUGUGUGCUCAGGUCAUUAAACUGGUGUCGGUGUUUAUCCAGCUAGCAGUGGACUGGGCCGUUUAGCGUGUAAGCAGCGGCUCCCAAUGUCUUUAUGACAGGCAAUAGUGGCAAGUGGUGUGGAUAUGGGGGGUCCUGAAUGAUGGGCCAGGGGGAUGGGCACUCUCCUUUUUCACUGGCCCUAGGUGACCGUACCAGCCCACUAAUGACUACCUUAUAGACCCUAAAAGUCACUUUCAAAGAGUAUGCAUGAAUUACUUCACACCACCUGCUGCAAGCUGUGCAGCACCAAAGAUGACUGCUCUUGCUGUACUGGAAUACUGGUACAGUCUUUACAAAAUCCCUCUUGCAAUUCAACACAAUAGAAACACAUUAUUAUUAUUUAUAUUUUAUUAAAAAGGACUGAAAAUUAACUUUUGCCAUGUAAAGCCAUUGAUAAAAGUUUUCGCGGGGCAGUACAAGUGUUAACGUUUAA